AGCGAUCUGCGCUUCCCGACAGGAAAACUUAUCCCCGGGGCCUUAUUGAUCCUUAAGGGAGCUGUUCCUGACCCGGCCCGUGGGCUUGGUCACACGGCGCCCACCUACAUUGUAGGUUCCCGGGAUCAACAUUCCAUCGGUCGCCGUGGAUCGCGA
rnacentral:other from 2 species